CUCCUACGGGAGGCUGCAGUGGGGAAUCUUGCGCAAUGGGCGAAAGCCUGACGCAGCGACGCCGCGUGAGUGAUGAAGGCCUUCGGGUUGUAAAGCUCUGUGGGGAGAGACGAAUAAGUGCGGGCUAAUACUCCGCAUGAUGACGGUAUCUCCUUAGCAAGCACCGGCUAACUCUGUGCCAGCAGCCGCGGUAAGACAGAGGGUGCAAACGUUGUUCGGAAUUACUGGGCGUAAAGCGAGUGUAGGCGGUUUGGAAAGUCGGAUGUGAAAGCCCCAGGCUCAACCUGGGAAGUGCAUUCGAUACUCCCAAGCUAGAGUACUGGAGAGGUUGGUGGAAUUCUCGGUGUAGAGGUGAAAUUCGUAGAUAUCGAGAGGAACACCGGUGGCGAAGGCGGCCAACUGGACAGAUACUGACGCUGAGACUCGAAAGCGUGGGGAGCAAACAGGAUUAGAUACCCUGGUAGUCCACGCCGUAAACGAUGGGUGCUAGGUGUCGCGGGCUUUGACUCCUGCGGUGCCGUAGCUAACGCAUUAAGCACCCC
rnacentral:rRNA from 1 species